rnacentral:snRNA from 1 species
GCUCCCUUCAGCAGCACAUAUACUAAAAACUGGAAUAGUACAGAGAUUAGCAAGGCCUCUGUGUAAGGAUGAGAUGCAAAUUCAUAAAGUGUUCCAUAUUUUU